ACAGAUGGGCCCGCGGCGCAUUAGCUAGUUGGUGAGGUAAUGGCUCACCAAGGCAACGAUGCGUAGCCGACCUGAGAGGGUGAUCGGCCACACUGGGACUGAGACACGGCCCAGACUCCUACGGGAGGCAGCAGUAGGGAAUCUUCCGCAAUGGACGAAAGUCUGACGGAGCAACGCCGCGUGAGUGAUGAAGGUUUUCGGAUCGUAAAACUCUGUUGUUAGGGAAGAACAAGUGCGAGAGUAACUGCUCGCACCUUGACGGUACCUAACCAGAAAGCCACGGCUAACUACGUGCCAGCAGCCGCGGUAAUACGUAGGUGGCAAGCGUUGUCCGGAAUUAUUGGGCGUAAAGCGCGCGCAGGCGGUUUCUUAAGUCUGAUGUGAAAGCCCCCGGCUCAACCGGGGAGGGUCAUUGGAAACUGGGAAACUUGAGUGCAGAAGAGGAGAGUGGAAUUCCACGUGUAGCGGUGAAAUGCGUAGAGAUGUGGAGGAACACCAGUGGCGAAGGCGACUCUCUGGUCUGUAACUGACGCUGAGGCGCGAAAGCGUGGGGAGCGAACAGGAUUAGAUACCCUGGUAGUCCACGCCGUAAACGAUGAGUGCUAAGUGUUAGAGGGUUUCCGCCCUUUAGUGCUGCAGCUAACGCAUUAAGCACUCCGCCU
rnacentral:rRNA from 1 species